UUCUUUUUGUGGAUGUGUUUUUUUUUCUGCCAUGUCAUUUUGUCCAGAGAAGAAUAGAUGAAUGACAAAACAAAAUGCUAAAAGGGUAUAAAUGACCCCAGAAAAAUGCACACUAACCAAAUCAGAAGAGACUGGGGCGGGGGGGGGGGGGAGGGUAUAAUUAAAUAAAUAAAGAUAAAAAUAAAAUAAAAAAAUAUGAUAGGCUGGUGAAUAGAAUAGAGCCACACAUUUGAUUUUUGGUGUAUUCUGGUCUGUAAGAAGAAACUGCCUCCCAAAAUUUUAAAGAAAGAAACACACACACACACACACACACACAUUAAAAUAAAGGUAAACAUGUUGAAGGGAUAUAAUAUGACUGUAAAGAUGAAAAUUAAAAAAAGAUUUGAAAAAAGGAUAAGAUAAGUUGGUUGAAAACAGAAAAAAAAAAAAGAAUAUGAUCAGGCUGGAGACUAGAACAAAGCCAUAUGCUAGAUAUAGGGUAUAUUUUGUUCUGUUAGAAGAAACUAUAUCCCAAAUGUUAAAGAAAGAAAAACUUAUAUGUACAUAAAACAUAAGGUUAACUAUAAUUAAGGGAUAGAAUAUGAUUAUAAACAUGAAAAUUGAAGAUUUUUAAAAGACACUGAUAAGAUAAAAUAGUUAAAAUAGGUUAAAAUAGGAAACAUUCCAAAAAAUAGAGAAAGAAAAACAAAAUUAAAAAAAAUUAACUUUGAAAGAUUGAAGAACCAUGGGGACAAACCAUGAAUUCCAUGUGUUGUUAUCCCCUAGCUUUGAAGUUCCGCAGUUCUCACUGAUUCAUGUACUUGGUCUUGGCGGGAUGCUCUUGCUAAUCUUCCGGGGUAGAGGCCGGUUGCCGGGAUUCUCAAGUGUCUUUGCCGGAGGCUGAACUGCCCCGCCCUUGCCUGGGGCGGGGCUACGUCAUCCACUCAGUUUUGCUCUCGGAGCUUUUGUUCCCUGCACGCUUUCCGUAGAGCUUCCGGGGACGGGAACCAAGAUGGCGGCCGCCCAGUCUCCAGCCGGAGGAGCCGGAGAGCUCGGUCUGCUCCCGGAUCUGCUCUCCGAGCCGUCAGUCCCUCCCGUCUCUCCGGUCUCCGGCCGCCCUCCGGGCUCACCCGGCCUGUGACCCAGCGUCUCUGUCUCUGGCGCUCGCCCCAUUUGGAAUCUCCGAACCCAGCAGAUUCCUGCCGUGCUGCCGCGCUGCUCUUCUCAGAGGAGGAGGAGGGUCUCUCCGGAUCUGCCCCUUGUGGGAUCCGUGCCUGAAGAGCAGACCCCGACUGUGCUUCGGCUCAGGUUCAAGGCACAUGUUUGUUGAUUCACAACCUCAGGAGUUCCUGGAUAAAACUGGAUAUUCACCUCCAAGCACAGAGGGCAGGGAGACACUGAAGAAAGAAGCUGACCACUCCAGAUGGGUCUUUCAGAGUGACGUGGCAGAUGCAAGACAUGCUUUAACAGAUUGCCCAGAGUAAGAAAAGCAAAGGAAAUGUCUGAACAGAUACUUUUGAAAACCCAUACUUCUACAAUGUAUCUGUUACAGUGAAAAACAUUCACAGUGAAUGUUAAUUGUCUCCAUUGUAGGGGAUGUUAACCUUAAAUAAUAUAUUAAUUCAAAUCCUGCUAAUAAAUUUUGUGAAUAUGGAUUAAUAUUGACUUCUUUUGGCAAUAGUGAUGUUAGUUGACAUAUGUAUCCCCCAAAACAAUUUUCUUACUGAUAUAAAUGUCAUUUUUCAAAUUAAUUCUAGCAAGAAAAAACUUUUGGCAGCUCUUUAUAAGUGUCUCUUCUUCUGAAAAAAAAAAAAAAGAGAGAGAGAGAGGGAGAGAUGCUUAUAAUUUGUAAAAAGAAGUAG